rnacentral:rRNA from 1 species
AUUGAACGCUGGCGGCAGGCCUAACACAUGCAAGUCGAACGAGUGGCGGACGGGUGAGUAAUGUCUGGGAAACUGCCCGAUGGAGGGGGAUAACUACUGGAAACGGUAGCUAAUACCGCAUACCAUCGGAUGUGCCCAGAUGGGAUUAGCUAGUAGGUGGGGUAUCGGCUCACCUAGGCGACGAUCCCUAGCUGGUCUGAGAGGAUGACCAGACACACUGCAAAUGAGACACGGUCCAGACGCCUACGGGAGGCAGCAGUGGGGAAGAUUGGACAAUGGGGGAAAGCCUGAGGCAGCCAUGCCGAGUGUAUGAAGAAGGACUUCGGGUUGUAAAGUACUUUCAGCGAGGAGGCGUUACUCGCAGAAGAAGCACCGGCUAACUCCGUGCAAGCAGCCGCGGUAAUUC